UACAGAGGGUGCAAGCGUUAAUCGGAAUUACUGGGCGUAAAGCGUGCGUAGACGGUUAUGUAAGUCAGAUGUGAAAGCCCCGGGCUCAACCUGGGGAAUUGCAUUUGAGACUGCAUAGCUAGGGUGCGGAAGAGGGAAGCGGAAUUUCCGGUGUAGCGGUGAAAUGCGUAGAUAUACGGAAGGAACACCAGUGGCGAAAG
rnacentral:rRNA from 1 species